rnacentral:tRNA from 1 species
UGUCCGGGGAUGGGAAUCGAACCCACAGUGUUCGGCUUACCGGGCAGAUGCCAUGUCCACUAGGCUACCCUGGAC